rnacentral:rRNA from 1 species
GACGAACGCUGGCGGCGUGCCUAAUACAUGCAAGUCGAGCGGAGUAGAUGGAGUGCUUGCACUCUUGAUACUUAGCGGCGGACGGGUGAGUAACACGUAGGCAACCUGCCCGUAAGACUGGGAUAACUACCGGAAACGGUAGCUAAUACCGGAUAAGCAAGUUUCUCGCAUGAGAGACUUGGGAAAGGCGGAGCAAUCUGUCACUUACGGAUGGGCCUGCGGCGCAUUAGCUAGUAGGUAGGGUAACGGCCUACCUAGGCGACGAUGCGUAGCCGACCUGAGAGGGUGAACGGCCAAACUGGGACUGAGACACGGCCCAGACUCCUACGGGAGGCAGCAGUAGGGAAUCUUCCGCAAUGGACGAAAGUCUGACGGAGCAACGCCGCGUGAGUGAAGAAGGUUUUCGGAUCGUAAAGCUCUGUUGCCAGGGAAGAACGUCUUUUGGAGUAACUGCCAGGAGAGUGACGGUACCUGAGAGGAAAGCCCCGGCCAACUACGUGCCAGCAGCCGCCGUAA